GCCGGGAUGGCCGAGUGGUCUAAGGCGGUGCACUUAAGAUGCAUUAUCGAAAGAUGCGUGAGUUCGAACCUCACUUCCGGCA